UGAUAAUGGACUGAACCUCUAAAACUGGGAGAAGACUUAGGCCUCAUUUUUCCUGAGUCAAGGGACUCUAUUUCCAGAGCCCAUCAUCCAUCACAAGGGACACUGUAAAAACAUGCCAUGUGAUAUUUAGAAGGGCCAAGGUCCAGAGCCUCAAGGACAGAUCCAGGAACAUUGCAGAUCAAAGGAGAGUAGUAGGACCUGACUCCAAAGAAAUGGGGAACAGCUGGUCUCUCCCACUGGCUCAAACACUCAAGCUCUUUCAUUUCAUCCAUCCCCUAAAUCUUUUGCUCUCCAGAACAACACUCC
rnacentral:lncRNA from 1 species